GUGGGAGGGGGCUUGCCCCCGAUGGCAGUGUGUCAGUCACUUAUUUAUUAACUGACUCACCGCCAUCGGGAGCAAGCCCCCUCCCAC
rnacentral:antisense_RNA from 2 species